GUUCCCUUCCUGCUAAAAAUGGCCCUUGAUGGCUUCCCUCAAAUACUAAGUGAACUCAGCUGUACCACAGCAAUCUUACUUUAUAAAUGUAAUUGCAAGAAGCUUCUCUUUCCCUGGAGGACAAGGCUACCCAGAAUCCCAGGCUUCACUAUAAACCAUGGCAUGUCUUCGGAAGCCUUGCUACCACCUUUGUUUUUUCCUGCUGGAGAUCCCUUAGACAUGUUCUAUGGACCCCUGGAGGUCUGCCAGACCACACAUUUAAAACCACAGAUCUAAAGGAACCUGAGACGGAGAAUGACACACAUCCUGGCAGCAGCGAUACAGAGCAGUACAAGAAAGCCUGUUCUGCUGUAGGCAUGACUACCGCUUGCAUAAGGAUGAGAAUCUGCACGCCCCAUUACUAAGGGCUUUUUGUCCAGACUCUGGAACAGUAAUGCAGUUUAUCAAUAAACCCCCAAGCACAUUCACCAGUACAUCCCACCUACCAAGCCCAAAUACACUACCUUUAACAGAUUUCCGAAAAAUGGUGCUGCAAUCGGGCUGUCAACACAAUUUCUACUAAAAAUUUCCACAAUGCAGCUUCAAUGCUGACCGCUCUAGUACAGCUGUUACUCAGCUACUGAGCAGGUCUGCACAAGAAUGGCUUAAAUGCCAGCUGUCACCUGAAAACUGCAUUAGCAACUGGGGAGAUGCUAUCCCUGGCAGAGCUGCACAGG